rnacentral:rRNA from 1 species
UACGGGGGGGGCAAGCGUUGUUCGGAAUUACUGGGCGUAAAGGGCUCGUAGGCGGCCAACUAAGUCGGAUGUGAAAUCCCCAAGCUUAACUUGGGAACUGCAUCCGAUACUGGAUGGCUUGAAUCCGGGAGAGGGAUGCAGAAUUCCAGGUGUAGCGGUGAAAUGCGUAGAUAUCGUAAGGAAGACCAGUGGCGAAGGCGAAUCUCUGGACAGUUACUGACACUGAGGCACGAAGGCCAGGGGAGCAAACGGG